GUCCCUAUGUAUGCUUAGAUCUUUAAAACUACGCAACAGAUUUUGAUGCGGUUUUCUUUAGUAAAUUGAGUGAUUCCAGAGGAAGGCUGAUAUGUAUAAUACAUGCAUAAUAUAGUAGAGGAACACUGAUAGUUUUUGCAACCGUGCGAAGCCGCGGCAGGUCGCUAGUAAAAUAAUAAUAAAAUCGUGUGUGUACUUACUUCUGUACGCACGUAAGAAGUUAUACUUCAUUGGCUAGCUAACUUCACGGUGUCGGUUUUUUGUGACAGUGUGGUCACGCAUCGCACAAAUUUACUUUCAUCAUUUUUCCCUAACACGUCAAAAGAAGAUUUUUUUUUAUGUCACCAGGUCGGCAAACAAGCGUACGGCUCACCUGAUGGUAAGCGAUUACCGUAGCUUAUAGACACCUGC
rnacentral:misc_RNA from 1 species